CCCUUCCCUCCCAAAUUUCACUAAACAUUCAUUGAUCCCUCUCGCGAUCAUCUCUUUACCGCCCCUACGCGUAUGCCAUUGCCAUUCUCUCUCUCUACGCCUCUGUAUCGCAACCCAUUAAACAUGGCGUCCGGGUCGUCUUCUCUCAUGUGGUUUCGGAAGGGCCUUCGGAUCCACGACAACCCGGCUCUGGAGUAUGCUUCCAAAGGGUCCAAUUUUCUUUACCCAGUCUUUGUAAUUGACCCGCAUUACAUGGAGCCUGAUCCCAAAGCUUUCUCUCCUGGUUCGACCCGUGCGGGCAUAAACCGUAUCAGGUUCUUGUUGGAGAGUCUAGUGGAUCUCGAUUUGAGCCUCCAAAAGCUUGGCUCGAGGUUGCUGGUCUUCAAGGGAGAGCCUAGUCAGGUUUUGAUUCGGUGCUUGAAGGAAUGGGAUGUGAAAAAACUUUGCUUUGAAUAUGAUACAGAUCCAUAUUACCAAGCUUUAGAUAUUAAAGUGAAGGAUUAUGCCUCUUCAGCUGGAAUUGAAGUUUUCUCUCCAGUGAGUCAUACCCUUUUCAAUCCUGAGGAUAUCAUACAAAAGAAUGGAGGAAAGCCGCCUCUGAGUUACCAAUCAUUUGUAAAGGUUGCUGGACAACCCUCAUGGGCAUCAUCACCAAUUUCAACCACAAUUUCCUCUCUUCCUUGUGUUGGGGAAAUUGGAAGCUGUGAGAUUUCAAAAGUUCCAACAGUAGAAGAGCUUGGCUAUGAAGACAUUGAGCAAUAUGAAUGGACUCCUUUUAGAGGUGGUGAAUCAGAAGCAUUGAAGAGGUUAAGAGAAUCAAUCAAUAACAAGGAGUGGGUGGCAAAUUUUGAGAAACCUAAGGGUGACCCUUCUGCGUUUGUGAAACCAGCAACUACUGUGCUAUCUCCAUACUUGAAAGUGAGUUACAAACACAAUGGUUUGUAUAAUUUGCUAAUAUCUCUAGUCAAAAACAGAAUAAUUUAUAUUGGUUGUUAGCAUCUCUUACAGUUGAUGCAAGGAUUAUAACAUGCACACUGGAAGGAUUUAGCAACUUGAUCAUGUGCUAUUAAUUCUUUGAUCAUUUCUUCAUUUUCCUUGCCAAUUUUGCAAUAUGUUUGCAGUUUGGCUGUCUCUCUUCCAGAUAUUUCUACCAAUGUCUUCAAGAUGUCUAUAAAAAUGUCCGAAAGCACACUUCACCACCAGUUUCUCUUGUUGGCCAGUUGUUGUGGCGAGAUUUCUUUUACACUGUGGCUUUUGGCACUCCUAACUUUGAUCAGAUGAGGGGAAAUAGAAUAUGCAAGCAGGUAAGUACAAAUAGCACUUGCACAUUGUUUCCUUAGACAACAUGCAUAAUUUUAUUCGAGUAACUUCUUUUUCCAUCUGUAAAUUUUGGCAGAAAUUCUGUCUCUGUGUGUGUGUGUUUGGGUGUGUGUCUAUAUAUACUAGCCUGUAGUUGUGAUAGGAUGAUAAAGGAUCAUCUAUACUGGCAAGGAUUUUCUUCCUUUGUGAAGCAUGUUAUGUUACUCUUCAGCCUUUUCAUUAUUACCAUUGGAACUUCCCACCAUCUACAAGCUAUGUUGCAAUAUCAAAUGAAUCAGUUUACUUAUUUAAUUUUGUAAAGAAGAUCACAGCUCUUUCCAAGGGGUUCAAGCAGAAUCAAUAAUACUUUGUCAAUUGGUUGAUACAUGGUUUUUACCAAAGAAGGUUUGACUAGAGCUAUGUGAACUAGAAAUGUGAACUAGAAACAAACUUUAAAAUAGUUUUGUUAACUACUAAUAUGAGAGGCUAAUUCUUAGUUUAUUCUUAUUUCUUGUGCGCUUAUCUUGAAUUGCCAGUUACAUUUUCCCCAUUUCUACUUUUUUUUUUUUUUUGGCUUUUCUCCUGCAUGGGUUCCUUACAUGGAGCCUCAGUGAACUAACUAUAUUACAAUGUAGAUACCUUGGAAUGAUGACAAUGAAUUGCUAGCAGCUUGGAGGGAAGCUAGAACAGGAUAUCCUUGGAUUGAUGCAAUCAUGGUUCAGGUUAGGUCUGUGACUAAACUACUAAAUCAUUUUUUAAUGUCAAGUUUAGUUUGCAGUUACAUAUAUUAAAUGGGCAGCUUAUUUGAAACUUAGAUAUUUGCUCUUGUAGCUUCGCAAGUGGGGUUGGAUGCACCAUCUAGCACGGCAUUGUGUUGCUUGUUUUCUAACUCGUGGUGAUCUGGUAUAUGGCCAGCAUAUCAUUCUCUUUCUUUUUCAUAAUCUCUUCCUUAGUUGACAUGGAUUUUUCUGCUGAUAGUUUGUGCAUUGGGAAAAAGGGCGCGAUGUUUUUGAGAGACUUUUGAUUGAUUCAGAUUGGGCAAUUAAUAAUGGGAAUUGGCUAUGGCUGUCAUGUUCAUCAUUCUUUUAUCAGGUACAAAUCAUUUGUGCAUACAAUUUUCAUUAUACUGUUGCAAUUUGUUGGUACUUUGUGGUAACUGGCAUCCCAGCCUUUAAACCUUAGUCUGGAUCUAUUGCACCACUGUUGCAUGAAUUAUUAAUGUUUAACAUUCCCCUUAAACAAAGGAUGAACUCCUAUCAGGAUGUUAAGUUUGUAAUAAUCUUGUUUACUGAUUUUGAAUAAUUUUAUGCAGUUAUCCCACUUGGCUUCAUUCCUUAGAUUCAACAGAUUUCCUUACAUGAUAAAAUAAGUUGAUCUAAAAUCAAUUAAGCAGAAAGUAAAAGAUGUUUUCGUCCAUAUUUUUUUAUCUGCCACCUGCUUGUACAAAAAGUGAGGUUCUUGUUGCGCUACCAAGAAUCAAGCUUUUGCUUUGAAAUAUUACUACUUUGUGUUGCAAUUGAAUGGAUUUCAGAUGAAAUCUUCUAAGAUUAAAUGGUGUUUGUGCUGACCAGUAUAAUCGUAUCUACUCGCCUUUAUCUUUUGGGAAGAAGUAUGACCCAAAUGGUAAUUACAUAAGGCAUUUUCUUCCGGUGUUGAAAGGUAAUUCAGGCUUCUUCACAUAUCAUCUUCUUGUUUUGGCUCUGUUUACUUUGUUAUAUAUAAUCGAAUUUUAAUAAUCAGACAUGCCAAAGGAGUAUAUCUAUGAGCCAUGGACAGCACCACUAAGUGUUCAAACUAAAGCAAAGUGCAUAAUUGGAAGAGAUUAUCCAAAACCAGGUCAGUUAUCUAGCUGCAUUCCUAGUCUUGAUUUGCUCUACGUUUAGUGUGAGAUAUAACUGAUUGUAGGGAUUUGGUCUUUUUCUGAUCAAGGGACCUACAAUUGGAUUUAUUUUUUCACUCAGUAGUAGUGCCUAAAGACAAUGUAAUAUAUAUUGCUAUAUAAAGAAAUAAAUCAUACAAAAAUAGGAUAUUCUAUGCAGUAGAACUAUUAAUUGCAGGGCUGCCACCUCUGCUACCAAAUGCCUAUAGUAGGAGCAACCGAGCAACCAUCCAAAGACUUCCUCUUGGUUGCCUUCUUUUAUAAUUUGUUUUUUCCAGUUGAUCUGCCAUGACUUCACCUAUGUUUGGUAGUUUAUUUAUUCUAUAUUUUGCUCCAGUGAUUUCUCAUGAUUCUGCGAGCAAGGAGUGCAAGAGAAAGUUAGCAGAGGCUUAUGCAUUAAACCAAAAACUGAAUGGCCAGCUGAGUGAAGAAGAUUUGGGGAACUUAAAAAGAAAGCUGGAGCAAGAUCAAGAUCAAGAGCCCAAAAGUAGACCUCAGAGACAACAGAAGUUAAUGACCUGAGCCAAGAUAUAUUGCAGAUUAUCAAUUUAUAUUUUUAGAUUGCUGAAA
rnacentral:misc_RNA from 1 species